rnacentral:sRNA from 1 species
GGCAGCUCCGCGGGUACGUGGCCGGUGCUGGCUGGGAGUUCUGGUCUCAGGCGAGGUGGGGACUGGGCACAUCGUCAAUACGAUAGAGAACGUCACUUUUCACCAUGAAGGGUUCUUCUGGAGGUGUUGGUUUAAUGGGAUUGUGGAAGAGAAUGACUCCAAUAUUUGGAAGUUCUGGUACACCAAUCAGCCACCGUCCAAGAACUGCACACACGCUUACCUGUCUCCGUACCCCUUCAUGAGAGGCGAGCACAACUCGACCUCCUAUGACUCUGCAGUUAAUCUUUUUUGAUUCCUCAUGGCAAACCGAAUCCAGCAGCACAUCAAAAAGCUUAUCCACCAUGAUCAAUUGGGCUUCAUCCCUGGGAUGCAAGGCUGGUUCAAUAUACGCAAAUCAAUAAAUGUAAUCCAGCAUAUAAACAGAACCAAAGACAAAAACCACAUGAUUAUCUCAAUAGAUGCAGAAAAGGCCUUUGACAAAAUUCAACAACCCUUCAUGCUAAAAACUCUCAAUAAAUUAGGUAUUGAUGGGACGUAUCUCAAAAUAAUAAGAGCUAUCUAUGACAAACCCACAGCCAAUAUCAUACUGAAUGGGCAAAAACUGGAAGCAUUCCCUUUGAAAAGUGGCACAAGACAGGGAUGCCCUCUCUAACCACUCCUAUUCAACAUA